CAGUCUUCUCCCUCACCUUCCGACCUCUCCCUCUCUCCUUCUACCUCGCCGGCGCCCCCGCCCGCCGUGAGCGCGCGCCGGCCUCCCUCCUCCUCCUGCUCUUAUCCCCAACGGUCCACCACCGCACCGCACCGCCUCCGUUCCCCAUCUCCUCCACCACCAAACCCUAGCCGCCUCCCUUCGCCGCCACCGCCGCUGACCGGUCAUGUCUUCUUCGUCCUCCGACGCGGCUCGGGACGAUGUCUCCUCCCCAGACCUCCCUUCGGUAGCCGCGCCCGUCGUCGCCGCCGCGGCCGCGGCCUCCUCGAUGGGAGGCAUGGGGCUCUGCGCAGGGCCCUCCGGGCGGAGGCUGCCGCCGCCAGGCUUGACGCACGAGGAGACCCUCACGCUCAUCGAGAAGCUCCAAGUCCAAGUCCGGCGUGCAGUGCUGCCACAAGAUCGAGAAGCUCCGAAAGCGGUACCGCACUGAGCGGUCGCGCUCCGCCGGCCGGUCCAAGGGCCCCCGCCCGCCUCGCCGGCCGGAGCUGGAGCUCGCCCGGCCCGCCUCGCCGGCCGGAGCUGGAGCUCGCCCGGCCCGCCUCGCCGCCGGAGCUGCAGCUCCCCCCACCUGCUCGCCGGUUGGAGCUGCACUUGCCCCCACCCGCUCGCCGCUGGAGGAAGCCGCACCGGCAUGAUUUUCGCCGCUGCACCACCGCUGGAGGCUAGAGAUUGGAAAGGGGAGACGACGCACAGCAGCACAGGUGGAGGAGGAGGAAAAACCGGAGGGCGCGGACAACCGAAAUAGAAGAUGCUGCUCUGGUUGGGGAGCGAACGGCGGGCAUGGAGGUUGCAGCCCUACAGCAUGGCGGCGGCAUUACCGAAGAUGGAAGUCGACGGUGCCCUUAGCUACAGCCGUGCCAAGUAGGGCAUGGAAUGCCGGAGGUGGAGUGGAGUUAUUUAAACUCGAUUGCAGGGACGAUCUUUGGGUUUCUUCGUGUUGCAGUGACGGCCUUUGGUUUUCUUCAGCUCCUUUCAGGUGUGUUUGUUGUGGUGGAGGAAUUAUUUGCACUAGAAUUGAUGGCUUACAAUAGUGACUUACGAUUGUGCACAGAAAAUCGGUAGAAGGCAUAAAUAAAAUGUCAUAGUGAAUGAUGACGUGGAUAGCUUGCAUGUUGAGAGAAACAGAAU